UACGGAGGAUGCAAGUGUUAUCCGGAAUCACUGGGCGUAAAGCGUCUGUAGGUGGUUUAAUAAGUCAACUGUUAAAUCUUGAGGCUCAACCUCAAAAUCGCAGUCGAAACUAUUAGGCUAGAGUAUAGUAGGGGUAAAGGGAAUUUCCAGUGGAGCGGUGAAAUGCGUAGAGAUUGGAAAGAACACCGAUGGCGAAGGCAAUUUACUGGGCUAUUACUAACACUCAGAGACGAAAGCUAGGGUAGCAAAUGGG
rnacentral:rRNA from 1 species